UCAACAGCUUCUUCACAUUCUCUGUAACUUUGGUCUACGGGAUACUGCUCUCUCCUGGUGCUCCUCCUACCUCUCCCAGCGCUCUUUCAGUGUUUCUUUCUCUGGCUCUGCCUCUUCUCCCCAACCCCUCUCUGUCGGCGUCCCCCAAGGUUCUGUCCUCGGCCCCCUACUGUUCUCUAUCUAUACUGCCUCCCUUGGUAAACUCAUCAGCUCCUUUGGCAUCCAAUACCAUUUAUAUGCAGAUGACACGCAAAUCUACCUGUCCUCCCCUGAUCUCUCUCCGCCCACCUUGACUCGUGUUUCUGAC